UAACAACCAGAAAUGGUUGCUAAUACCGCAUAAGCGCACAGGACCGCAUGGUCCGGUGUGAAAAACUCCGGUGGUAUAAGAUGGACCCGCGUUGGAUUAGCUAGUUGGCAGGGUAACGGCCUACCAAGGCGACGAUCCAUAGCCGGCCUGAGAGGGUGAACGGCCACAUUGGGACUGAGACACGGCCCAGACUCCUACGGGAGGCAGCAGUGGGGAAUAUUGCACAAUGGGGGAAACCCUGAUGCAGCGACGCCGCGUGAAGGAAGAAGUAUCUCGGUAUGUAAACUUCUAUCAGCAGGGAAGAUAGUGACGGUACCUGACUAAGAAGCCCCGGCUAACUACGUGCCAGCAGCCGCGGUAAUACGUAGGGGGCAAGCGUUAUCCGGAUUUACUGGGUGUAAAGGGAGCGUAGACGGACUGGCAAGUCUGAUGUGAAAGGCGGGGGCUCAACCCCUGGACUGCAUUGGAAACUGUUAGUCUUGAGUGCCGGAGAGGUAAGCGGAAUUCCUAGUGUAGCGGUGAAAUGCGUAGAUAUUAGGAGGAA
rnacentral:rRNA from 1 species